rnacentral:rRNA from 1 species
CCUACGUGUGGCAGCAGUGAGGAAUAUUGGUCAAUGGGCGGAAGCCUGAACCAGCCAAGUAGCGUGCGGGAUGAAGGCCCUACGGGUCGUAAACCGCUUUUGCACGGGGAUAACACCCUCCACUUGUGGAGGUCUGCAGGUACCGUGCGAAUAAGGGCAGGCUAAUUCCGUGCCAGCCGCCGCGGUAAUACGGAAGGCCCGAGCGUUAUCCGGAUUCAUUGGGCUUAAAGGGAGCGUAGGCGGGCGUUCAAGUUAGCUGUAAAAUCGCGCGGCUCAACCGCGCCCCGCAGUUGAAACUGGACGCCUUGAGUUCACAACAGGCAGGCGGAAUUCGUGGUGUAGCGGUGAAAUGCAUAGAUAGCACGAGGAACCCCGAGUGCGAAGGCAGCCUGCCGGGGUGCGACUGACGCUGAGGCUCGAAGGUGCGGGUAUCAAACAGGAUUAGAUACCCCUGUAGUC